UACAGAGGGUGCGAGCGUUAAUCGGAAUUACUGGGCGUAAAGCGCACGUAGGCGGCUUGGUAUGUCGGGUGUGAAAUCCCCGGGCUCAACUUGGAAACUGCAUUGGAAACUACCUUGCUAGAGGAUUUGAGGGGGGAUUGGAAUACUUGGUGUAGCAGUGAAAUGCGUAGAUAUCGAGAGGAACACCUGCGGCGAAGGCGGGUUGCUGGGCUGACACUGACGCUGAAGCGCGAAAGCUAGGGGAGCGAACGGG
rnacentral:rRNA from 1 species